ACCUUUCAAAUCAGGGUGCGGCGCGGCCCCCGAGGAGCGGAAACAAUCCUUGGGAGGUAUGCGGGGGCUUCGAGCCCCCCAUUUACGCACGCACGACUGCCAUCCUUACUUUACGAGCACCUUCUGUUCUCCCUCGGCGGGGCAACCUGCCGUUGGAACCGAAUAAACUCUUUUUGCAUCUAGCUAUUACCUGUUCCGAAACAAACAAUCGUUA
rnacentral:misc_RNA from 1 species